rnacentral:rRNA from 1 species
UACGGGGGGGGCAAGCGUUGUUCGGAAUUACUGGGCGUAAAGGGCGCGUAGGCGGCCUUCUAAGUCGGACGUGAAAUCCCUCGGCUUAACCGAGGAACUGCGUCCGAUACUGAAAGGCUUGAAUCCGGGAGAGGGAUGUGGAAUUCCAGGUGUAGCGGUGAAAUGCGUAGAUAUCAGGAGGAAGACCAGUGGCGAAGGCGGGUCUCUGGACAGUUCCUGACACUGAGGCACGAAGGCCAGGGGAGCAAACGGG